rnacentral:rRNA from 1 species
CGAMUUYGAGUUUGAUCCUGGCUCAGAUUGAACGCUGGCGGCAUGCCCUACACAUGCAAGUCGAACGGCAGCACGGGGGCAACCCUGGUGGCGGGUGGCGAACGGGUGAGUAAUGCAUCGGAACGUGCCCAGUAGKGGGGGAUAACCCGGCGAAAGCCGGGCUAAUACCGCAUACGACCUAUGGGUGAAAGCGGGGGACCGUAAGGCCUCGCGCUAUUGGAGCGGCCGAUGUCUGAUUAGCUAGCUGGCGGGGUAAGAGCCCACCAAGGCGACGAUCAGUAGCUGGUCUGAGAGGACGACCAGCCACACUGGGACUGAGACACGGCCCAGACUCCUACGGGAGGCAGCAGUGGGGAAUUUUGGACAAUGGGCGCAAGCCUGAUCCAGCCAUGCCGCGUGCGGGAAGAAGGCCUUCGGGUUGUAAACCGCUUUUGGCAGGAACGAAACGGCGCGAGCCAAUACCUCGCGCUAAUGACGGUACCUGCAGAAUAAGCACCGGCUAACUACGUGCCAGCAGCCGCGGUAAUAC